CUUUUUUAUGAUUCUAUGAAAUAUUUAUAUUUGUUAUUUUUUUUUUCAAUCAUGGUCUACUAAUUUCUACUAAAAUAGUAAAAAAAAAAAAAAAAAAUCUUGCGCUACUAUUUCAUGUAAUAAUUUCACAGUUAUUUGCUAUUCCUCAAUGUACUCCAUGCUGAGUACCAAAGCAUGGCUUCUGUUAAAAAGAAACCUAACACCUAAAUAUUUUUAUUUUCAUCACACUUUUACUGUCUAAACUGUCCUCAAAGAUUUUUGAGUAUUACUUACUUUUAACCUUACUUUUGAGGUUUUGCUUAUACAUGUAGGACCAUGGCUAGCAUGUUGUGAAAUCUAGGUACUUUGAAGAGGAAAAGGAACAAUAAGCUGUGUACUUUUGAGACAUGUUUCAGGGAAAAUUUGGGGAAAUCAUUAACCUCCAUGAUUAGUCUUGUUUAAAAAGUCUUGGGUUUGAGGUUGUACUUUUAGCCAUCAAUCUAUGCCAUUAACUAACCUCAUUUUGGACGGUUGACAUUUUUAAAUGAAGUGUCAGUAAUUAAAUGUUGAAGGCACACUAGUACAUCUUCAUCAACAUAUGUUUCAGAUUCUCGUUAUUAUGUUUUGGAAACAUUGUACUUUCAUAUCACAGUGUAAUUGUAUUGAAGUAGUAGUAACAAUAAUAAUAACAAAAGCCCUGAAAAAUGGUACCACAGACUUGAUCAUCUGUCUAUAGUCUAGGAGGAGGUACUGAUGAAUUGUACGAUCUCCUUGUUAAAAUUCUGCUUGUGAGUUACGAAAAAGACUGUAGUGACUUUUCUGUCUCUGUGACAUUCCCUUUGUUUCUGGUUAUUGCUAUAGCAUGUCAUCCCAAAGUGAUUUAUGGAAUCCCUUUGACUGAUUCUCAAUUUAUAAGAAUUUAUUUGCAGAGUAGAGAUGUUAUUUUGCUUCUGUAAUGAAAAAGAAAGUCCAAAAUUAUAGUUGCAGUCUUUAAUUUAAAGAUACAUAUAUUCUCUUAUCCAAUUGGUACUUUGUAGUCUACAUCUACAAGACUGCUAUUUCUUGCAUAAAUAAUUCCUGCGGUUCUAAUGCAGACUCAAUAAACACUUUAAUAAUCAUGAGUCUUGUACUAUAUUUUAAUAAGUUAUGUGACGGAAUGCAAACUUAGAUUACCCCUUACUCAGAGUGCCUGCCUGAAAGGUCACCAUUACAUUUCUUCUCCUGCAUUGAACUGGCAAACCAUUUGUACAUGCAAAUGAAAUAAUAAUAGAUAAUUACCUGCUUACUACUGCUGUCAGUAGUUUGGCUCAUGUGCCAGGGAGACUGAAGCAGUACCUGUAACAUGCUGUGCUCCACCACAGACCACAUUAAAGCUGAAUGGACCUUGGAGCUACUGGAGCCAAUAUGACCAUGACCAGAAGAUUCAUUUGUUCACUUCUCACCUAUUUAAUGAUUCAGCUGCUAAAAAUACGUCUGGCUUGUGUGUGUCCCUCUAGCUUGCUGCCAUUUUCGUGUGAGCCAUGCUGGUUGUCUUUCCUUUGUUAAGCAGGACUGUUUCUUUCCCAACUUGCUUUCAGACCUCCUCAGUGCCAUGUUCUGGUCUAACUCUCUUCUCUGGCCUUGGAAAAGAUUGUUAAUAAUACUGUGCCAUGGUUUUACUAGUGAAGUUCAGUAAUGAAUAUUGCACUUCUCUGCAUCAUUUUUGAGCCUUUCUGGAGCAGCACCCAACCAACCAAUAUAUUCACAAUUCUAAAUUUUCCAACUUUGAUGUUAGUUUUUUUGUAGAUUUUUUUUUUUAUUGAAUGAUGGGCAAAUGAGAAACUUCAUUUGCUAUGAUUCUGAUAAUUGUCAUAUUCAUCAUAUACUUGCGUUGCAAAAUGAAUAUGCAAUACAAUGGUCUCAGUGAAGAAUGUCCUGAAUAGUAUAUUCAUUGCACAUGUUGUGAAUCAUAACCCAAAUCUUUUAUCUAGGGCAUCUUUUGACUGCUUAUGAGUGGAUUGCUAUCUGGUGAUCUUCAGAAGAGAAAAGCUGCUUAAGUGGAGAGAAAAAAAAAUAGGAAAGAGGGGGAAAAAAAGAGAUAAUGCCAUCAGGACUAACUGCUUCACCAAUAGAAGAAUAUUCCUCUGGACUUAACAGAAGUGCUAAGAAGGGUCACCUAGUGAUGAUCAAUACAGUAACUUGUUUUUCAUCAGUGAAAUGAGUAUGCACAACUCGCCUGUAACCAUCAUGUUUAUGCAAAGGACAAAACUGGUAAAUAGCUUGAAAUAUGUUACUUGACAAUUUUCUGUGAGAUCUAAUACAGAGAAGAGAAGGUGAAGGACAGAGACUACAAAUAUAUCUGAUAUCUUACAGAUGUAAGGAGCUGUAAAAGGAGAUGAUACUGCAGGGUUCUCUUCUGCCCCCCCAUAUGUAAGAAAAGAAUAUGUGCCUGAAAAAAGCAAAACAAUGUGAACUUCUAGCAUUAUCUUCAGCCAAAAAGUGGAAGUUUUGCUUACCAAAAUAAUAUAGGUAUUGUGUUCUCAGCAGGAGAAUAUUGUCAAAAAGAGCAAAUUAAUAAAUUCUCUAUAAAAUGUAUGGGUACAGGUCCUGUGAAUUUCUCAUAGUUGAGUCUAAUAUCACUUAGGAAAAUGUAGAGCCCUUGAAAACACACGAGUCAAACCCCUAGAAAAUUCUGUUGUUGCUUUUUCAUCCAAAGUCCCCAUUUGAGUUUGUUUAAGAGUAAUAUUUGAAAUUUUAGUUAAAAAUAAUACUGUCAGCUUUAUAUAAAAAAACAAGACACCAGAAUCCCUUGACAGUAGUGCCAUAAACAGAACAUUUUUUUAAAAGGUCUGCUAUACCUCACACCAUUUAUUGUGUAUUCUUCAAAUUUGCAUAGUGUUUUCUACCUGGUAGUGAAAAUAGAUAUCUUUUUUUUUUUUAAUUCCUGUUUGUGGUGGAUUUUUGGAGGAAUUUUCUGGAACUGGUUGACUGGUUGGCAGGACUACUGAUAUGGGUUUCAUAAAAGGUAACCAGGGAGAAAAACUCCUUGUUGGAAGCCUUUAUUUGCUUCACAGAUGCUAGCAAAUCUUCUGCUUAAAAUUUGUAGGUAUCAGCAUAUACAAAAAUGAAAACUGAUGCAUUUUGUGGUUUCAUUAUCAUAUUUUAAAUACUACCUUCAUUGUGCAGUAUCUGGAUUACAAAAAUACCAGUACAUUUUCUUCUACUUCUGACCUGAUAUGCAGGCUUAGAGAUCUCAACACAGAUCCAUUGAACUUCUUUAGUUCUGACUGUAGCUCCCAAGUUUGUCUGCUAAUUGAUAAAAAUAGUAAACAAAGACUUAAAGUGAUCAUCCUUACCCACACACACAACAACAACCACAAAAAACGCAACCACAAAAAAAAAAAAAAAAAAAAAAAAGGCAAAAAAGGGCUGGAUUCUUGGCUUGAACUGCCAGACAUUAUCUGUUUAAAUUCUCAAAGAGAGUGAGUGAAAUCUGCAUAGAAACUCAGAAAGAGCAUCUAUAGACUGAACAGUUUCUCACAUGUCAGUGCUCUCACAGGCUGGCAUGUCAGAAAAGGCUUUGCAGUUUUGUUUUUUAGGGUGUCACGAGCUAGCACAAGCAUGCAAGUCUUCUUCAUUGCAUGAAAUUUUAAGAAAUAAGUUGGAUCGCUGAAUGAAUGGAAGGAGUGAAGCUCUCAAUGCUGGCAGUGAACGUUUAACAUAUGAAUUACAUGCUUCAUCCUUCAGCCCAUUUAACUACUCUUGUGCACCUGAUAAAAGCUGGGCUGGCAUAUCACUCUCUUACAGCGAAACAAUUUUUGAAGAAUGUCCUAAUCUGCCUGCCUAGAAUCUUGCAGUAAUACUCAUUGCAUUGUAUGUGAGUACUUCCCAAGUGUCAGAACAACAAUGAUAUCUCUCUCUUCCUUCCCCAGCAGGGAUGGAAACAGUUAGUUUGCUCUUUCGUCAUAAGGGAACUCAAAAGGGGUCAGGGAGGCAGGAUGGUUAACAAUAUGGUUUUGUAACUUAGCUGGCUGGGUGGAUUUCAUCUCCAUUGUUGCUUUCUUCCUGCUUUCUGGUGGUUGCAUGCUCACUUGCCAGCUUCCCUUCCUGGUCAUUGGCACAACUCAAAAGAGGAAAGGAAGGCUCUAAGUGGCUGGGUGCAGAAUUGAGGCUAGGGAGAGGUGAGAUGUUGUAUGAAACAGACUGAUAAGAGGCUUGAUGACACGAUCAGAUAGAGGAGCUUUAGAAGGCUAAAGUCAGACCUGCUGAGAAAGAUUUAUUGCAGUAGAAAGAGGUCAUGUAUUUUUCUCUUGUGAAGCCCCAUAGGAAUGGACUAGAGUGCAGAGAACGAUGUGACAGGCCUAAUAGCAAAGGGAGAUGAGUUAGUUUUCUCUCACAAACCAGUGGAGAGGAAGCCAUACACUGAAUCUUACAGGUAAAUAUGCAAGGUGGAAGUUGGAUAGCUGGGGGCAGGCCUCAGCUUUGCUGUAGUUGGGUGCUGUUUAGUACCUUCUUCUCCCAAAGGCAGUGAUUUUACAGGAUCCCUCUAGCAGGCUACUCAUGUACCAGAAAGUGACUGAAAAUAUUUUUGAGGGAAGUAAAAAAUUAAAAAUCCAUUGCUGACAAUAAAUAUUUAUUUAUUUAUCUCAAAAACAUUUUAGCAGUGUCCAUGUAAUCUUUGCAUGACAGCUGUGAGAGAUUUCAUCCAUUAAUCUUCCAAGAUAGUUUGGAUGGAAGAAGGGAAGUAGAACAGGAAAGACAGGGUGGUGCUGAGAAGCUCAGAGCCCAGGGAGUGUGGAGUACAGGAGCAUUCUGCCUCAUUAAGGCAGGAGACAGCACUGGCUCAAACAUGUCAGACCUGCUGGCUGCAUGGUCAGAUCAAAGAAAUGCUGCAUCCUCACACACUAGGUUUUGCUAGGCUUUCCAGAGUGUGUGAAAUGCAGAGGGUUUGCAUUUCUUCUUCAAGAAGAUAAAAUGUCUGUGCACGGUAUGUCCACUCCAACCCUCCGUACAAACAGCAGGAGUCAUACAACUAAGUGUAACAAUGCAGCCUUACACAUGAUAUUUGCACUGUGCUCAGUAAUUCUGACAGGAUUCUUAAUGCAGGGAGUAUUUGCAGUAUGAAUUGCUGCCAGAACUACAGGCACAUUGUUGCUAGAACAGCAAACAACAGAGAGCUAAAAAUACCAGGGGUCAAAAUUUACUAUUGGAAUAAAUCUGAGAACUGCGUUAGUUUUGAGGGACUUCCUCAUGCAUGACCAAUUUGCCACAUAUGUUGCUUGAUAGCUGGCCAUACAAGCUCUUUGCUUUCUCAGUUUUUGUAGUACAGGAUUUGUCCAUAUCUGCUUUAUGUCUUUUUGGAAGCUAAGUGCCUGGCAUUUGAGAAUUCUCUUUCCCUCUCUAUUUGUUUUUAUUUUUAUUUUUUUCUUCUUCUAUUUUUAACCCUUCCUUGGUUUUGCUCACCUUUGGUUCAGGAAAGCUGAUGUGUUUAGAAGCUGUCAAUGCACAGGAUAUUCCAGUGCUAGCUGGUGAUUGAUAGGUCCUGUACUGAACCUUGUUGUCUUUCUUCAUCCCCUUCCUUACUGUGUUUCAUUUCCUUUUCCCCUAAACAACACAAUGUUUUCCAAACUGAAUGUCUUUGGCUCUGCUGUGGCUUUAAAAAUACUUCAAAUUUAGAUAUUUUGGGAGUUCUGCAAAGGGAGAAAGAAUGGUUAAGGGCUUUUGUCUUCCUCUUAUUUUCUGAUGGAGUUUGAAUUUCUUUGAAUUCCCACAGGAAUUUCCCAUGGGAAAGAGAGCAACUUUCACAAGGAACAGAUUUGCCAGGCUGUCUUGAAGUUAAACCCUGGGAACUUGCACAACUAUUCACCUGUACUAUGAAUGCAACAAUCAGAAUAUCUCCUAUAGGCUUCAUUUUGGGAUUCAGACUGCGAAAAAAAAUUCAUUCAAUUAAAAAAAAAAAAAAGAAAAUAACAGGUGUCCACCUCUUACUAGUCUUCUUCUGUCAGAGAACUAAAAGCCUUCCAUUUUUUCAGUGGUGUCAUCUCUUGCCUUUGCUGAGGUUUUUGCACGCAAGACUUGUCUCUGUUCUCCCAUUUGCCUUUUGAAUUUGGAUUUUGUUCACAUAUUUGUUCUUCCAUAAAGUGGAACACAGUAUCAGAGGCAAUUCUUUGCACAUCAUUCCCUGUGCUUGUGUCCCCUCCAUGACCAGAACAGCCUGACUGGCUGGCAAAGCCCCUUAUCUGAUCAUUAUAUGUAUUUGUUUAAUGUUAUUGCAACUCUCUAAACAGUUUCCACACACCCAAACUUUGGUUAUAUCCUCUACAUUGUGGGUAUAUUAUCCUGUCUCUAUUUUCUGUUGAACUCUACACUGUUCAAACUUGAAACUCCCUGGUGCUGGUGAGACUUGGAAUGGAAAGUUUUAAGCCAGCCCAUCUUACAACUCCGUAUUUUUAAGUGAUAGCAUGAAAGCAAUAGAAAGCUGAUUUAUACAGCCCAAGAACAAUUUAUCUUUGUAUAGACAUCUCUGUGUGCUGUGAUAGCAGAGAAUUCUUAUGGGAGUGUGAAGUAACCUGUGCAGUAUUUGGGGCAAAACUGCUGAUGGCAGAAAAAAGAAGUGUUUCCUGACCACUUCUAUUUUCAUGGGGUUAAAAACAAUGUUGGCCAUUACUUGUUGACUGAGAUGCUGCCUUGAUCCUUUUGGCCUCAGAGACCAAGAAUAAAAGUACCAAAGGCUUAACGUGACUCAGUUACAGACAGUUAUUUGCUACACUGAAUAACACAAUCUAGACAUUUUCACCCUAUCUACAUGUUAGCUUUGGCUUAAUAGUUCUGGUGGAUGAUCCAGAAAAUAGCUCUCCUGCAUUAGUAAUUUCAGCAAACAUUUAUUUAUGUUCAUAUAAACUGCAUGCAGACUGAAAUUCUCUCAAAUAAUAAAUAUAAUUCCCUCACAUGCCACAUGUCUUCUACAGUCUACUAGUAAUUUUUGUGUGUGUGUAUAAAAUAACAUAGAUAGAAAUGCUAGUCCAGGCUUUUUUUUCUUGUGCAUGAUUCAGCUUAACCCUUCUCCCCGUGGUGGACUUUUCCUACACUCCAUUCCCACAGGAGGUUUUCCUCUUCUGAGAUUGGCUGUAAUCUCAUAAGUAUUAGGUCAAACCCAUAAAUAUCAUGACAAACAAGCCUGAUCACUAAUCAGCACUUAGCAUUCCCCAGGUAGAACAACACCUGUUCAUUUGGACAUGGGGAAUAUGCAGUGAAACCAUUUCUGUGACAAUAAAUAAUGUUUUGUUAGUUUUGAAAUUAGUAUUCUAAAAUACACAAAGAACUGAGGAAAAUUCUGGGUGUAUAAUUUCAUUAAACAUGCUUGUCUUAGUUUGUAUUGAUAAGCGUUGAUAAAUGCUGAUGCUACAGUGACCAGAUUAAUUAGGGAAUACAUAUCUGACCCACAGAAACAAGAAAGGCACCUGCCAUACAGGCGCAUUUCAAAUUCAGCUUUCUCCUUUAGGACUGGAUGACAGAUUAUGAAGGAGGAAGAUAGCAUCACCCAUGUAAUUCUGCUAUGAUCCUUCAUUAAGCAAUCUGAAGUGAUAAAGAAAAAGCAGGAAGAAACUUUUAUAGAAAUGGUAUCCCCCUUAGGCAUCCCUACUUCAGCCUGUUGAACUUCAGCCCAAACCUUCAGCCUGUUGAUCAUCUUUGAAGAUCUGUUACACUGCAUGUCUCUGGGCCUUUACCCUCCUUCUGUAGGCCACCUCUGGAUCAUGUUAAUUGGUUUUGUUAGUGUUCUGUUGUGUUUAUAUUUGAGGUUUUGUUUGGUUGAUUUUUUUUUCUUAAAAUCUGGCUACUUUAAUUUGAAGUGUCUAAUUCAGACUUAGUUGUAAGUUUCAGCAGUCAGAUUUAAACAUCUUGGCCAUAAUGUUCAUACUGCACUGAAAUAUUGAAUCUGUUCUCGCUAACAAGGCAGUUUUUCACACAUUAAAGGAAUAUGUCGAAUGUUGAAUCUGUUAUACUCCUCAAGUGUUGGAUCUCUCCCCUACUCAGAACAGCAGUCCUCAUCACAGAUUGCAAUUCAACAGUAAAAUAUUGAAAUUCUAUUGAAUCACAUGGAUUCUCCCCAUGCUUCAGUUCUUAAAAGAAAAACCAAAAAAACAAAGCUCAAUUAACCCCUAGAGCCUGAGACAAAAUUUCAUUGACACUGUUAAAAGAAAAAGUGCCUUAAAGUACUAUAUUAACUUCUAGCUUUAUAUGUCCUCUGCAAAUAUUAGGGGAGAGAAACAGCCAGCACGACCCACAGUAACUGUGUAUAACGUGUACUGCCUAUUCCUUCCCUGUAUCCUUUCAGGUUUAGUGCAUGGCACUGUCUGUGUCUCUGCUCAUCUGCUCAGAGCUUGUGUAAAACCAAUAUGCCUAUUAGCUUUCUGUAAACUCUGUUUAUACGGUCUCCUGGACCUCUUCAGGAGAUAUUUAAUUUACUGAGAAAUACCUCAGCUCUUUUAUAGGCAAAUGAUUGAAUUCUGAGCUUCUGUAAAACUGAGGUAGUAACACAUCUUAACAAAAAGUGAAAUAGUCAGAACUUUAGGAUACUACUUAAAAAAAAUAAAACCUUCUAAAGCAGAAUUUUUAGUGAAAUAGCAGACAAAGCUGUGCAAGAAGUGUCUUUAAAAAGCAACAGUACUGGGUGGUUAGACUUUGUUGAGUUAACAGUACCGAGUUGCACAUAUAUAUUGAUGCAGUUUUCAAAGUCCAUAAAUAGUGCUUCAGCUCCUGUAUGGGAAGAGGAUGUUGCAGAAAUAAUUAUGGCAUGAUUUGAUAACCCCUUCCUAAAAAAAAAAAAAAAAAAAAGGAAAAAAGCAAAGCAAAA